UUUCAUUAUUCUUGUAUUAUCUAUCAAUUUUGAUCGGGAUGGGAACUUUUUCAUCAGGAAAUGGGUGACAUGGAAGUUGGUGAUUAAUCUCCAGAUCGAUAUUCAUGAAUCAUAUCACAGAAAUGGAAUUUCACAACAACAGGUGUUAGUCAAGAUAAAUGUCAUCGUUAUCAACGACAUCAAUUCAGACACAUAUACCUACAAUUGAAAUGGCUAACUUAGUUACAGUUAAUGUAUGUCUGUCGCUGUCUGUCUGUCAGUCUGUAUGUAUAUAUAUGUGUGUGUGUGUGGUGCAAUUUUCAAUCAGCACCGUCCACAUCCACUAACGACCUUAUUAAAGAUCAAACAUUCGCAGUGUUUCUUGUGUAGUAGAUAAAAUUACACUAUUUGUUCUCGCUUGUCAGAGAAUAUAAGUGUUAAUAAA